rnacentral:rRNA from 1 species
GACGAACGCUGGCGGCGUGCUUAACACAUGCAAGUCGAGCGGUAAGGCCCUUUCGGGGUACGACGAGCGGCGAACGGGUGAGUAACACGUGGGUGACCUGCCCUCAGCUCUGGGAUAAGCCUGGGAAACCGGGUCUAAUACCGGAUAUGACUCCAUGACGCAUGUUGUGGGGUGGAAAGCCUUGUGCGGCUGAGGAUGGGCCCGCGGCCUAUCAGCUUGUUGGUGGGGUGAUGGCCUACCAAGGCGACGACGGGUAGCCGGCCUGAGAGGGCGACCGGCCACACUGGGACUGAGACACGGCCCAGACUCCUACGGGAGGCAGCAGUGGGGAAUCUUGCGCAAUGGGCGAAAGCCUGACGCAGCGACGCCGCGUGAGGGAUGAC